rnacentral:pre_miRNA from 1 species
CUCUCUGGUGGUGUUUGGCAAUGGUAGAACUCACACUGGUGAGGUAGAUGGAUCCGGUGGUUCUAGACUUGCCAACUACUGCCUGAGAGCGUC